rnacentral:rRNA from 1 species
CUACCAUGCAAGUCGAACGGAGAAGCGGAAGUAGUUUACUAUUACCGCAUCUUAGUGGCGGACGGGUGAGUAACACGUGGGCAACCUGCCUUAAAGAGGGGGAUAACACCGAGAAAUCGGUGCUAAUACCGCAUAACAUUAGUAAGUCGCAUGACUUACUAAUCAAAGGAGCAAUCCGCUUUAAGAUGGGCCCGCGUCUGAUUAGCUAGUUGGUGGGGUAGAAGCCUACCAAGGCGACGAUCAGUAGGCGAUCUGAGAGGAUGAACGGCCACACUGGAACUGAGACACGGUCCAGACUCCUACGGGAGGCAGCAGUGGGGAAUAUUGCACAAUGGAGGGAACUCUGAUGCAGCAACGCCGCGUGGAGGACGAAGGUUUUCGGAUUGUAAACUCCUGUCUUUUGGGACGAUAAUGACGGUACCAAAAGAGGAAGCCACGGCUAACUACGUGCCAGCAGCCGCGGUAAUACGUAGGUGGCGAGCGUUGUCCGGAAUUACUGGGCGUAAAGGGCGCGUAGGCGGCCUGUUAAGUCAGAUGUGAAACCCCCAGGCUCAACUUGGGGAUUGCAUAUGAAACUGAUGGGCUCGAGUGUCGGAGAGGAAAGCGGAAUUCCUAGUGUAGCGGUGAAAUGCGUAGAUAUUAGGAGGAACACCAGUGGCGAAGGCGGCUUUCUGGACGAUAACUGACGCUGAGGCGCGAAAGCGUGGGGAGCAAACAGGAUUAGAUACCCUGGUAGU